rnacentral:rRNA from 1 species
AAUGAUAUGACGUACUUGUACUGAUGAGAUUUAACACGAAGUGAGUGGCGAACGGGUGAGUAACACGUGGGUAACCUGCCCAGAAGUAGGGGAUAACACCUGGAAACAGAUGCUAAUACCGUAUAACAGAGAAAACCGCAUGGUUUUCUUUUAAAAGAUGGCUCUGCUAUCACUUCUGGAUGGACCCGCGGCGUAUUAGCUAGUUGGUGAGGUAAAGGCUCACCAAGGCAGUGAUACGUAGCCGACCUGAGAGGGUAAUCGGCCACAUUGGGACUGAGACACGGCCCAGACUCCUACGGGAGGCAGCAGUAGGGAAUCUUCCACAAUGGACGCAAGUCUGAUGGAGCAACGCCGCGUGAGUGAAGAAGGGUUUCGGCUCGUAAAGCUCUGUUGUUAAAGAAGAAUGUGGGUAAGAGUAACUGUUUACCCAGUGACGGUAUUUAACCAGAAAGCCACGGCUAACUACGUGCCAGCAGCCGCGGUAAUACGUAGGUGGCAAGCGUUAUCCGGAUUUAUUGGGCGUAAAGCGAGCGCAGGCGGUCUUUUAAGUCUAAUGUGAAAGCCUUCGGCUCAACCGAAGAAGUGCAUUGGAAACUGGGAGACUUGAGUGCAGAAGAGGACAGUGGAACUCCAUGUGUAGCGGUGAAAUGCGUAGAUAUAUGGAAGAACACCAGUGGCGAAGGCGGCUGUCUGGUCUGCAACUGACGCUGAGGCUCGAAAGCAUGGGUAGCGAACAGGAUUAGAUACCCUGGUAGUCCAUGCCGUAAACGAUGAUUACUAAGUGUUGGAGGGUUUCCGCCCUUCAGUGCUGCAGCUAACGCAUUAAGUAAUCCGCCUGGGGAGUACGACCGCAAGGUUGAAACUCAAAAGAAUUGACGGGGGCCCGCACAAGCGGUGGAGCAUGUGGUUUAAUUCGAAGCUACGCGAAGAACCUUACCAGGUCUUGACAUCUUCUGACAGUCUAAGAGAUUAGAGGUUCCCUUCGGGGACAGAAUGACAGGUGGUGCAUGGUGUCGUCAGCUCG